rnacentral:rRNA from 1 species
AACGAACGCUGGCGGCAUGCCUAACACAUGCAAGUCGAACGAUAAGCCACCUUAGGGUGGUGGACAGUGGCGCACGGGUGAGUAACACGUAAAGAAUUUGCCCUCUAGACUGGGACAACUAACCGAAAGGUUAGCUAAUACCGGAUAUUAUGAGACCUUGGCAUCAAGGACUUAUGAAAGCUAUAUGCGCUAGAGGAGAACUUUGCGUCCCAUUAGCUAGUUGGUAGGGUAAUGGCCUACCAAGGCAACGAUGGGUAGCCGGCCUGAGAGGGUGAACGGCCACAAGGGGACUGAGACGCGGCCCUU